GUGAGAAGGGCGGGAAUGAACCCCUGGUGAUACUGGUUGAACCGGCUGUGAGCAGCACAGACGCCACUGCAGAAUGACCUGGUGAGGAAGAGCACCAGCUCCCAAAUUACCUCAAUGUUUAGAUUUUUUCCACAGCUCUGAGAAGAGAGGGGAUUCAAAGACUCACAGAGAGCAAGAGCUGCUUUGUGAGGACCACGGUCUACAAGAAGGGGCUUUGUGCUUUAUGUAAGCCACACCAAGAGCGGCAUUAAUGACUGUCAGCGUUCUCCGAUCUGAGCUCUCUUGGCCUAUUUGGUUUGGUCCAGUUAUAAAUUCUUCUGUGCUGAGGGAGCUGAUGAUGAAGUUCCCUGCCAAUAUAGCUUUUCUGUGCUUGGGUGAAGAAUGGAAGAUAAUGAAGAUGCGGUACUGUCAGUCUUUCCGCAUGGAGCCACAACACAAGCCAGGGGAAGGUUUGUUAGCAGAACUCAAGGCGUGAAGCCGUAUUAAUUUGGAAAAGCAGGAUACAGCAUCACUGUGCUUAAUGAAGCCAGCAGAGACUGUUGAUGAGAAUAUAUGUGACUGGGUGUAUUAAUAGCAAAUAUUUGAAAGAAAAAAAUUGAUUCCCGGAUGAAAAACAUUGUCACAGUGACACCACCCCCCCCCACCCCGUUUCUGGUUGGCCUUUAAUUAAAGCCCCACAAUC